CUUUUGCUAGUACAAUGCCACGGAACUGUGACUAUUCCUGAAAAAAGAUCAAGGCCUGGAAAGGUUCAUUGAGAAAGGUUCAUUGAUGCACAGUUGACAACUAAUGGCAGAGUGGGCCUAGAAGCUGGGCCUCCUUACUGCCAGACAGAACUCCAGCGUGCUGCCUUCUAUAAUCAGGGUAAUGAGCUAUAGGAUGGUAGACGAUGCAGCAUUCAAAGACUUGGAAGUAGAAGGUGCCAUGCAUCUAACCAUCAUGGUAUCCACACAACCAGCACCCUCUUCCCUCCUCUCUCCCCAUUGUUCUGUAAGUAGGAGAACGAGAAGGACAUGUUCUCUUUCUGUUGUUUUAUGGUAUUUUGUGGGUAGCAAGUAACAAUAUUAACAAUUAAUAAAAAAAAAAAUUAGAAGGCA
rnacentral:antisense_RNA from 1 species